AUUUCGUUAAUUUUUUACCUUUGCCUUAAGCUAAUUCCAAUGCAUACCUAAGACGUAUAGUAAAAGUACGACGCGCCCUCUAGUUCUUCCAGGUGCCGACAAAGAGAUAGAUUAUCACGCGAUUCCACGUAUACGCGAGAGAAAAAGGAAAUAGGAUGGCAGACUGGAUCAUGAGUUCUCGUAAAAGCAGACGGUAAGAUCAUGAUUCCUUGUAGAAGAGUCACUGGGCGAGGAACGAGGUGGGAGGGAUUGUGGACCUGAACCCUGCAGAGAUUGAACUCUUAUUCGGGGAAGUGGAUUUGAAUCCUGUAUAAGAGAUCCUUACCGAAUCGUCCUUCUCAUAAAGACCCAACGUCCAAGAGUCAGGAACAGCCAUUGCUAAAGAAGAAGUCAUCUUCUUUAUUCUUCAUACCCAAGAAUAGAGACGAUUCUCAGGAACGAACAGGGAUGGUUUGUACCGUUAAUUCACAUUGAUACCCAACCUUCCGGCUGAAACGUGCUGUAGAAUGCUGGUUACACGGGACGUCGUUAUUCAUCGUGGAAUAAUUCAUUUGCCGGCGACGCUGGCGACAUCUGUCGGAAGAAUAAGAUUUACCUUCCACGAAUCACGAACCCCGACCGUACCAACGGAUACUUCUGAUUGGUUCCUUAUGGAACCAGUACAACCCUUUGUUACGAACGGGGAGAGAAAUGACUCUCUGGACAACCCACGCCUCUGGCCCACCUUACUUGUACCUUCUUCCGGGAAUGGGAAUCAUCCACCAUGGGACAGACUUCAAAGAAUUAUUAUAAAUGAUCCUUGAACGAGUUUCUGUGUUUGUCAGGCUCCUUUGGAUACGAUCAAGCAAAAUUUUAUACGGGGAACUCGAUUUACUCGACCACCAGCAGCCGAGUCGUUAAUAAUUUUCUUAUUAUUUAAAACGAAUAUUUAAAACGAAAACGAACCAUCACAGUCGACAUCUGUAUAUGAAAAAUAUUGGAUUUUUAAAUAGUUUUGACAUUUUUAUCUGAAUUUUUUAAGGUGCUAAUUAUUACAAAUACAGUAAGUUGUUAAGAGAUAAAGGUCUUGGACGUUAUCGUUGUCAAUAGAAUUUCGAAAAAAUAUACCUGAUUUCGAGAGACAAGUUGAUUGUCGCGAAUUUAAAAUUCAACGUUUGUUUUUUAUUAUUCGGAAAAUUAUGUAAUGGCUUUUUUUAUACAUUUUUCAACAGUCAGCUGUUUUUUUAUACAUGUAAAUUUAUAUACUAUAUCCUCCAUAUUGUUCUUCGUUCGUGUUAUCACCGAACAGUGACAUAUAUUUUUUGACCUGCCGAAAGGUCAAUACGUUUAUAAUUUUACUCGUUUCGAGCAAUUAUUAAAGGGUGACGUCUUUUAUGCGUGUCAUGGCUUAUUAAGUGUGUCUGAUUAGAUCGCUAAUAACUUCCGGCUACAAUGGUCACGAUAAGGUACAUGAACAUUGUGUUCAACAUACAGAGUAACUCGUUGUCAGUUAAAGAUAAGAGAUUUUAAUCGCCGUUCUUGGGAUUCAAAAAUUGUGUUUGUACGGAAUAGACGAUCCUUCAGAUAUCUUAAUAUUCACGUAUUAAUUGUAAGUUGACGUCAUUGUUGAAUCACUGCAUCACGCUACCCCAAUGUUUACAAUGUUAUUCCAUAUUCAGUAUUGUUUUUACAAUGCUAGGUAGUCCACGACGAAUGAUGCGACGCAAUGACAGCAUGUCACUUUCGACUUUGAAUUUUCACUCCAAUGAUAAUAAACCUCUUAAGUCUUCA